rnacentral:rRNA from 1 species
GAUGAACGCUGGCGGCGUGCCUAAUACAUGCAAGUCGAGCGAACAGACGAGGAGCUUGCUCCUCUGACGUUAGCGGCGGACGGGUGAGUAACACGUGGAUAACCUACCUAUAAGACUGGGAUAACUUCGGGAAACCGGAGCUAAUACCGGAUAAUAUAUUGAACCGCAUGGUUCAAUAGUGAAAGACGGUUUUGCUGUCACUUAUAGAUGGAUCCGCGCCGCAUUAGCUAGUUGGUAAGGUAACGGCUUACCAAGGCAACGAUGCGUAGCCGACCUGAGAGGGUGAUCGGCCACACUGGAACUGAGACACGGUCCAGACUCCUACGGGAGGCAGCAGUAGGGAAUCUUCCGCAAUGGGCGAAGGCCUGACGGAGCAACGCCGCGUGAGUGAUGAAGGCCUUCGGAUCGUAAAACUCUGUUAUUAGGGAAGAACAAAUGUGUAAGUAACUAUGCACGUCUUGACGGUACCUAAUCAGAAAGCCACGGCUAACUACGUG